rnacentral:sRNA from 1 species
AUUCUGCCCAAGCGGGGAAGGAUGAGAAGCUUCGACUAAGGUUCGACUCGAGCGCCAGCGAGAGAGCGUUGCCGCAGGCAACGACCCGAAGGGCGAAGCGCGCAGCGCUGAGUA